GGUGGAAGAAUGAGGAAGAAAAAAAAAAGAGAAUAAACGGAGGGGAAAAAGGAAAAAGAAAAAAAAAGAAGAGAAUAAACGGAGGGAAAGAAGGAGGAAGAAGAAGAGAAUAAAAAAUAGUGUAAAUUUCACACAAAUAGUGCAACAUUUGCCUAAAAAGUGUAAUUUUUGUCAUCCCAAAUAGUGUAAAUUUCAUCCAAAUAGUGCAACGUUCGCCUAAAAAGUACAACUCUCGUCCCAAAGAGUGUAAAUUUUAUCUCAAAUAGUAUAAAUUUUAUAUAAAACAGUGCAAUUUUUUUUUAAAAUUGCACUCUUUGAGACAGAACUGCACUGUUUUGGUGAAAUUUGUAAAUUUUAUAUAAAACAGUGCAUUUUUUUUUUAAAUUGCACUCUUUGAGACAGAACUGCACUGUUUGGGUGAAAUUUACACCAUUUCUCUUUUUUCACCACGGAUGUGGGUCACCCUCCAGCUGCCGCUGCAGCAGCAUCUCCACCGUCCGCAUCUCCGUCCCCUCCCCCUCCUCACCAUCACUCUCCUCCUCCUUCUCUACUCGUCGUCUCCGGCGUCGGCGUCGGCGUCGGCGUCUCUGGCGCAGGCUGCGGGGCUGCCGGAGCUGUGCGCAUCGCUGGGGCUGCGGGUGCGCGACUGCCCCGGCAAAGUGUUGAAAGCAAAAUUUGUUAUUUAAUUGAAACCCAAAAUAUGGUACUUAAUUAGUGAUUUAAUUGAGACAAGAAAGCAAAUUUUGUGAAAUUAAGUUAGAUUUUAGAUUCAGAGUAGUUAUUAAUUAAUUAAAUGGUGGCAGGGAUGGAGCAAAGCAUUGAAAGCAGCUCCUCGUUGUCUCCGACGAAAGAGGAGGCGGUAGAGCGGGGUUGGGGGGAGGCGUGGGGGACCCGCGAAGCCGCGCGAGGCGGGUGCGGCGGAGGCUAGAGAGCACGAGGCCAGUCGCGCGCCCGCAGCCCCAGCGAUGCACGCAGCUUUGCCGCCGGAGAUGACGAUGCCAACACUGACGCUGGA
rnacentral:lncRNA from 1 species